rnacentral:lncRNA from 1 species
UUUUUCUUUUCCCUAUUCUAAUAUUUGUAAUUGCAAAAAAAAUUACAUUUUGUUUCUUAUUAAAAGCUACUGAACCAGUAGUUUCCAAACCUGAUUUGAGUAUCUGAAUCACCUGGGGAGCCUAUGAAAUACAGGUGACAUACUAUAUAAGUAUCAGGUGUACAACAGUAGUUUGACAUUUAUGUACAUUACAAAGUACUCACCGUGGUAAGUGUGAUUACCACCUGUCACCAAAGUAAUUAAAAUAUUAUUGAAUAUAUUCCCUCUGCUGUACUUUUCAUUUUUGUGCCUUGUUUAUUAACUGGAAGUUUGUACCUCUUGGUUCCUUCACCUGUUUGCCCAUACCCCCACACCCUUCUCCUCUGACAACCAUCACUUAUGAGUCUGUUCUGUUUUGUUUGUCUUUAGAUUCUGCAUAUAAAUGAAAUCAUAUAGCAUUUGUUUUUCUCUGUUUUAUUCUGGUGGACACUCAGGUUUCUUCCAUAAGCGUGCAUACAUCUUUCUGAAUUAGUGUUACUGUUUUCUUUGGGUAAAUACCCAGAAGUGGUAUUGCUGAUCACUUUUAUUCUCAAUUUUUUGAGGAACCCAAGCAGUCUGUAUUGUUUUUGUUUGUCUGCUUAUUUGUUUUUAGAGCGGAGGCAGGGGCAGAGGGAGAAAGAGAAUAUUAAGCAGACUCCAUGCCCAACGUAGAGCUUGACUUUUAAUACCAUAAAAUAGAAAUCUAUAAAAUAACUUUAAAAUGUUAAUCUGAUAAUUCAUUUUUUCCCCCUGAUUAACACUGAAAUCUCUUGGCUUUUACCUAUACCAUGAAUUUUAAUUGGGUCAUUGGGGGGCACCUAUUACAAGACCAAAAGAAUUCCAAUUAUAACCUUAAACUUCUUGGUAGGUAGAAAUACAAUAUUAUAAACAUGAUACAGUAAUGAAGAUAAAUGUAAUAAUUAAUAUGAAAAAGGUAAAAAUUUCAAGCUAUAAAAUAUUGAUAAGUGAGAAACAAUCAUUCCUUUUAGAUACUACAUUCUCAUAACCUACAUAUACUAAUUACACUAAAAAUUUAUAUAUAGUUACUGGAUUUAGUUUUGAAAGUGAAAAGGUCAAAUUAAAUUAAUGCCAGUUUUGGAGCUUAGGUCCUUAGGCAAAUUACAUUUUCUUUUUUUUAAAGAUUUUUUAAAAGUUAUUUAUUCAUGAGACAGACAGAGAGAGAGAGAGAGAGAGAGAGAGAGAGGCAGAGACACAGGCAGAGGGAGAAGCAGGCUCCACGCAGGGAGCCUGAUGUGGAACUCGAUCCCGGGUCUCCAGGAUCAGGCCCUGGGCUGAAGGCGGCGCUAAACCGCUGAACCACCCGGGCUGCCCUACAUUUUCUUAAAGAGUCAAAAUAGUACAUACAUAUUGUAGUAAAAAGAUUUUCUACAUAAUACAGCAGGUUAUCCCAGGUUUAACCAUUUAAGCUGUUUAUUUCCACCACUGUUCAAUAAUUUGUUUACACUACUACAUUUUUCAAUAUUAGGCAUUUUUAGGUCUACUGAUUUCCUAUUAAGAUAGAUCAAUAUUCAAGUAGAUUAAAAUUAAAAUUAUU